CUUGUAGAUAGGUUUAGUGCGGAGGAAGUUGUGAAAAGGUGGAGAUGAAAACCUAAGAAGCUAAAAAUAGAUGCAACAAAAUGUGUCAAGUUAACCAACAUGUUAGCUGCUGUUAGCCGCUGCACCGUGAGCAGUAGUACCAGCAACAACUAGUAAGGCCUCACAGUCGCAGGAGGCUCCUGCUGCUAGCACCAGCUGUAGAGAAGGGAGGAAGAUGAAAUUAACGUAAGAAAAUAGCUGCAGGGCCGUAAUUCGGAAGAGAGAAUGAUUCAAGGACAUUCAGGGUCGCAGCUGCAAACCCCCCUUGGCUCUGGAACAAUCUGCCAGAUCGGCUGAAGCAGAAGCAGGAUACAGACACAGAGGAGCCUCUUUGAACGGCAGCAUCGCCGCGCUUAAGACAACAAGCACUGCCUUAAAUGCAUCUCUCAGUGUUCUGUUAUUUUCUGUGGGAAAGUCAGACUGGACCCAAGAUGCUGCUUAUCUGAGGUUUCAAAUUUAUUGGA